UUUUAAAAAGACUCUGGAACUUUAUUAAAUGAAUGUGGUGGAUCAGGCAAGUAAAUCAUGAGGGAAUAUACAGCUGUGAAGUCAGUGAUGCUGAGGAGACUCUGAUAACCAACACCUUUCUGAGGAGAGAGAAAAGUCAAGAGGAUUCAACCAAUGUUGGAGCCAUUAUAGGUGGAGUGGUUGGAGCCAUUUUGGUCGUAGCAGCAGUAGUUUUCCUGGUGCUGCACUGUAAAAAGAAAAAAGGUUGACAAGAAAACAAUGUGAGAGAGUCAAACAAUGAUGGAAACAUAAUUUGCUCUCGGCGCCCUCUGGUGGCCACAGAGGCAGUUACACUACAGUUGGAAGAAUUACCUCCAGUACAGCUCCACUUUCAUCUUGUUUACAUGUUACAUCCUCUGUUCUUUUACAUUUACUCUCAUUAGAUUUAAUAACAUGGACAUAUAAGAUUAUCUUUCAGUCCUGUAUUUGAUCUACUCCUCCCUCUGUUCUCCUCUUUUCUUCCGACCAACUAAAUCUCAGGCUUCGUAACUUAGAUAUGACCUGUGCAGAUCUGCUGUCCUCUACAGUCUUGAUGUAAAUCCCACAGGAGAUAUUUACUGGGCUCCAAAUAAAAUAUGUA